UACGUAGGGUGCGAGCGUGUCCGGAAUUACUGGGCGUAAAGAGCUCGUAGGUGGUUUGUCGCGUUGUUCGUGAAAACUCACAGCUUAACUGUGGGCGUGCGGGCGAUACGGGCAGACUGGAGUACUGCAGGGGGAGACUGGAAUUCCUGGUGUAGCGGUGGAAUGCGCAGAUAUCAGGAGGAACACCGGUGGCGAAGGCGGGUCUCUGG
rnacentral:rRNA from 1 species